GGCGGUCCCAGGAAGAACCUGUAUCCUGUCUGGGCCUCUGGCUGGCUCUCGAGGUUGGGCAGAAAGAAAACGGCCUUAGGCUGAUGGUGACAAAGGUGGUGGAGGAACAGGGAGGCACCUUCUCAAGUACAACUUUUCCGAUCUACCCUCAUCUUUGCAGACUGGAUUUGUGCAGAAAACCACAGCCUUUGGCCUCCGGUUCAGGAACAAGUGCAUAAAUGCAGGUCUGCUGCUCCUACUGUGGGAGAAGACCCCCUUUGCCUGAUGCUGCCUACCAAUGCCAAGGCCUGGAGGCCACCUUUGUUCCAGCAGGCCUUCUUAUCAGGGAUGGCAGAUGAUGAGAACGGGGAGAAGCCUGGGGCUGCUGGGACUGAAAGUGCGUUCCCAUACCCUCCUGUGGCUACUGGUUAGUCAAGAAUUCCAGACACAAAAGGCUGGGGGAAAGGAUGUGCUCCACAUGUAAAGAAAAGGAAGAGAUGAGACUUAAAAAAAAAAAAAGUGGACGGCCUGGGGAAUGACGCUUACUAUGGAAGUAAUAUCCCCAAUGAAGUGAACACACGCUUCAGGAGGCUGGAGAACGGAGACUGAAUCAUGAAAAACAAGUGAGCUCUCGAGCCUGAAACCUGCACGUGACAGAGUCACAGCCGUAAUAUUAGGAGGAUGCUGGUUCUUAGCAACAUCGGGGAAAUCAGAGAACGCAAGCAAAAGGAUGCUUGCUCUGCGAACAGGAAAGCUCUAUUCGGGGCUGCUCCUUUUAAGACAAAAUGACCUGGUUGGAGAUGGCCUUAUAAUGCUAACCAGAGAGCCUGGUCUUGACUCCAGAGAGAUCGAAUAAAUGCCAAAAAGUGCCCUGCAGACCCACUUCUGACCGUGACAGAUAAAAAUGGGCCCACACGUUGCUAAAAAACCCAAUUCUGAUGAUGCUCUAUAGGGAAUGCUUCCGAAAAAGUGCAUACUUCAUUAAAAUAAACAGAGUACAAAGGAAAACAAAAUUGAAAAAAACGGAGCUGUUUCUAGAGGAGCCAUGAUGCCUGCAACAUGUUUGAACAUCUUCUUAUUUUUUGCUUGUCUAGCCAAAACGCCUGUCUGCUCCUAAUCCCGGCAGCUCAUUCAAACACAAUGGUGGCUAUGCUGUGUUUCUGUAGAGAAAAGACCUCACCUUUAUGCCACGUCUCUCCGUACUCGCCACCUCCUCGGAUGUUGGCCACUGCAAGGACGCCGCCCAUGUGUCUCACAAAGAUGAGCCUGGACACGCUGAGAAACAGUUCAAAUAAUGAAGCUUCCCUUAACCACCUGCCUCCUGAUUGCCAACUGAGAAUCCUAUUCUGGGCCAAGGACCCCACACCCGGGCACCCAUUCAGUCCUUCCAGUUCCCACAACCAGUCCUCUCCUCUCCCACCAGCAGACCCGCUCAGGAUUCCCUACGGCACGAGCCUCAAAGCCAGCCCAUCUUCCUGAUGCCUCACAUUUGCUAAAGUGGAGUUGUGCUGUUAAUCUAUUAAUUUAGCAACGCCACGGAGGACAAGCUUCACGGCUCCGAAGCAGUUUAGUUACGGUAAUUCACCGCAUGAGAUUGCACCUGCGCCAUAAAAACCCAGGAAGAGUACUGGAAAUCCAUUUCAAAUUCUCAUUAACACUGUGGCAAACCCCUUAUUUAUCUUACUGCCUCAGAAAAAUAAAAAUAAGCAAAAUGUUGGCGUGACAACGCCAGCCAGAAUGGUCAAUAACAGCAGGGACCAACCACACAGCUGUGAGGAUAGGGGCUUGCAGCUCCGAAUGUGAAUGCCAUAGAGGCCGGACUUGGAGAGAGACAGAUGUUAGUGAGGAGAAGGGAGAGCAGUGUUCGUGCGAUCAAGCAGCUCCUGGUGGGGGCAGGGGGUGCUGAGGCAGAACCACGCCACCAAGAGUGGCCCUGAACUGAGCGCAGCAUGGACAGAAGCCCUUGAGCCAGGACGCUGGCACAACUGUCCAAUUACCACUUUUUCGUUUGUAUAUCCCAGGAGAAUGGGAGAUGCAGCAAAACAUUGCGAGGAGCAAAUACACACAAAAUCAUUUCACUGCCAAACAAUGAAUGACCGGAACACCGAAGAGGGGUACCUGGAAGGAAAAUUCUCUGGCAUAAAGACUUUACAGGAGCUUCUGUUGCGCACCUCCAGCGCUGCUAGUACAUCGAUCUGCUUCUACCUGGACUCUCUCAGACAAGGCAAAUGCCAAUCACCAAAAUAAACCCUGGGAGAGUCAGAGGCGGGAACAACACAUCGGAAAUGAUUUCAGGUCACUUAAAGGACAGUGGUUAGGAAGCUCAUGAGCGCCAAGGUGCAAUUCACCACCCGCCUUCCCCUACCCCGCUGGGGAACGGGGAGCUAGAAAUGGACUCACGAGGGUGAAGGCAGGCGGCAGAGAGGUGGUCCGUGGGGAGACACGGAAGUAGAGGCUUCCAGGAGCAGCACAGACAACCUCAUUGGGGGUUGGAAAACAGGAAGGGGAGCAAAUGGACACAAAUCACAAGGUUUAGGAAUCCUGCUGCAAAGCUACAAUCACAACGGCUUUGGUUUACAUUCUAUGUCUGGCUGUGGGAAAUGGUUUCGUAUUUGUGCAGAAGAACAACAGCAGCAAAAAUCUUACCAGUGGAACCUUUUUUGAUGGCUACGGAAUGCCUCCCACCACCUUGUUCACCCCAGCACUAUCAUGACAGAGCUUGCCUAUUCAUUUUUAAAUGCCUUAAAUGAGGAAAGAGUGUAAUUUUACGUAUGCAGACACACACCCCUUUAUAUUAUCACUUGUAAUCGAGGCAUUAAGGUAGCGAAAUAUCCAAGUGUCAGGAAAAUGAACAUUUCAGAUGAAUAAUCGAUUCAUGCUCGUGGAAGACCUGGAAAAGAACACUGUGCUGUUCUGAUGAUAGAUGGCAUUCAGGACGGAGGAUGGGGAACAGCUGAUGACCAGGAAGCAUCAGGGGUGUGUGCAGAAGAGCUGGCUACAAACCAGCACGCUGCGGACACAAACUGCCAUCGCGUGACUUCUGUGUACCAGCUCUCCUGGCUGGUAGUUGACAGGCAAAGCCGAGGGCUGCAGGGAGACUCCUCAUUCCCAGUCGGCUGGGCUCGGCAGCCCCACUCACAGACUCUUCAGUCUACUGCUUUCCUGGCCACCUCCCCAGGGCCUAAAUGUUAGUGCUCCCUUUGGUCCUCCUGCCCCUCUAGGCACACAACCGAGGGUUUCAAUCUGUGCCCAGGUGCUCACUGACCACUACCAGGGACAGCCUUCACGACUCUCCCUGACUCCUGACGCUAAUUCUCUGAGUGCCUGGCAAAAGCCACCUAGGUAUCCAGCACAGUCCCUUUCAAGGGCUCCCCACUCUUGAUAAAAUCUCACCCCAUCUGGGUGCAAAGCAGACCCUAUGGUCUGACCUGUAUUUCCAGGCUUACCUCCUGCCGGUGAGGUCCCCUGGUGCUGGGGAUAUCUCUGCUUGUGUACAGGCUCUCCUCCCUCUGUGCCCUUCCCCUGUCUGCCCAAAGCUCCUUUCCUGGAAGCCCUCCCUGGACAGUCCUAGAUGUUCCUCCUCCUCUGGGCUCUCAUGGGACCUGGGGUCACCUUUCAUAUAGUUUCUCCCACCAUCAAAUUACUACAAAUGUUUGAUCACAUCAUUUCCCCUUAUAAAUUCUAUCAUUCCUUACAGUCCCAGCGCUGCCAGAUAUAAUGUAGCAGCUUGAGAAAUGUUUGUGAAAGAAUUGUAUUUAUUUAUGCUAUCUUCUCAUUUAGAAAUUCCAUUUUAUUUAAAUUAGUACUAUUAUAACUAUCACUGCCUUAGGCAUCCCUCCAGCUUCUCUCUGUGAGGCACUGGGACUUUGGGGAUCUCGCUUAGACAAACUCAGCCAGGGAAUACGUUACACGGAACACAAACAAUGAAGAGAAGAACCAUCCGUACAAGUCAGUAAACUACUGAGGAGUGAAGUAGGAAAGGGAAAGUGAGAACAUGAAAUGUAAGAGGCUGCUUUAGAACACAUGUUAGAAAAGCCAAAAGCCAAAGGGAGAGAAUUAAGUUUCCAAAGUUGGAAAGCAUUAAUUAAAAAAUUCAAAUGAUCACACUCUCAUAGAAUGUAGCAAGGAAUCCGGGUCAACUGCAGGUGGCCUGGGGGUAAAGAGGCGGCAGACUGUGCGCGGGGAGACCGAGGAGCGCCUGCCAGGCUGCGCGGCCCACCCGGGGCUGGCUCGUGCAGCCUGUAGUGUCCUCCUGCCCUCCUCUGACUGACUAGUUGGGCCUCAUACAAGGUCCUGCAUCCAGAUGGGUCCACUGAGGCGUGAUGGGGGCCCGAGCGCUCGGGCAGAAUUCCAAGAGGCCUGAUGGCUGCAGACCUGUGAGAGGAGACUGCACGAGUGAGCUCACGCCAGGUGGAGGCUUCGCUGGCAGCGCUGCAUGUUCCUUACGAAGUAGGAAAAUACGUGUUACUUAGAACACUGUGUUCAGGACACAAACUGUUACAAUUUUGA